rnacentral:lncRNA from 1 species
GCGCUGGGAGAAGCGGACUCAGCAGCUCCGGCCACAAAGGCGCUUUUCAGCCGCCCCGGCUCAGGGAGAGGAAAGGGCAGAAAGCCGCGCCCCCAAUCCCUGCUCCGUCCGGAUGCAGCCCAGAAGGGCGUGGGAGUAGCACCUGAGAAUAACGGUCUCCUUGUGCGGAUCUGGGGAGCCCCCUGCAGGGUGGCAACCAGAGGAAAGGGCCACAAUGUUCCACGGCCAAGGAGGAAAGAAGGAAUGCCCCUUUUCCCAUCUCUAGGUGAAGCUGGACUCACCCACCUGGGCUGCCAUAGGAAAACGGAGGAGCUGGCAGUGCCCCGGCGCAGGCAUCUAAUAGCUGCUGUUUUUCAAAUGAAUGACUUCUCAGUUGGAAGCUGCUGAAGGGCAGUGGACACUCAAAAGUCUUUGUAAGAGGUGAGGAUCACUUCCCUUAACCGUCCAUCUAGGCACCUCUCCAGCUUUCUCCCUCUCUGGACUCCCGGGGCUCCAUUUUCAGCCACUCAGAUCUCAUCUCAGAGGCACCACGUCCAAUUUCUUUUGUUUAGAAGUCAUUUCUUCUAAGAAGCCUUCCUUGAUGUCCCAACACUGCCCACCUGUGUUCCCUCGAGAACCAUUACUUAACUGCAGUGUUAGAACAGUAUUAGAAUUAUCUGGCACCUUACUAGACAAAGCAAUCUUAAGCACACACAUAUUUAUCAUGUAUCUCCAAGGUUAAGUGCCUACUCUACAGAAGGGUGCUUUGCAAGCAUUUGUGGAAUCUACACUUUGUGUUUCAUAUUCACCCUCCCCUCACCACACUCUAUGGCUAGUACUCAUAGCAACUUUGUGUACAUCAGAAAAAACCAGGCCAGGCACAGUGGCUCACUCCUGUAAUCCCAACACUUUGGGGGCGAGGCAAGGACUGC